rnacentral:rRNA from 1 species
UAGGGAAGUCUUCCACAAUGGGCGGAAAGACCUGAUGGAGCAACGCCGCGUGUGUGAUGAAGGGUUUCGGCUCGUAAAACACUGUUGUAAGAGAAGAAUGACAUUGAGAGUAACUGUUCAGUGUGUGACGGUAUCUUACCAGAAAGGAACGGCUAAAUACGCGCCAG